rnacentral:lncRNA from 10 species
CAAAGAUGGCGAUUCUCCUGCGGUUCCUGAAAAUGAUCUACAUCUGUGGUUCUCAGACGUCGGCUCCAGAUCAGCAGCCUCACCAUCACCUGGGAACUGAUUAGACCUGCAAAUUUUAGAGCCCAAUCCACACUUACUGAAUCAGAAACAUUGGAGUUGCACUUAGCAAGAUGUGUUUUGUUUUGUUUUCCUCUUUCCAACUUUUAUUUUAGGCUUCAGGGGUACAGGUGCAGAUGUGUUACAUGGGUAAAUUGUGUGUUGUGGAGUUUUGGUGUACAGAUAGUUUUGUCAGUCAGGUAAUCAGCAUAAUUCCUGACAGGUAGUUUUUCAGUUCUCAUACUCCACCCUCAAGUAGGCCCCAAUGUCUAGUGUUCCUUUCUUUGUGUCCAUGUAUACUCAGUGUUUAGCUCUUACUUAUAAGUGAGAACACACAAUAUUUGUUUUUUUGUUCCUGCUUUAAUUUGCUUAGGAUAGUGACCUCUAGCUCCAUCCAUGUUGCUGCAGAGGACAUGAUCUCAUUCUUUUUUAUGGCUGUGUAGUAUUCCAUGGUAUGUAUGUACCACAUUUGCUUUAUCCAGUCCACCACUGAUGGACAGCUAGGUGGAUUCCAUGUCUUGGCUAUUACAAAUAGUGCUGCAAUGAAUAUACAUAUGCAUGUGUCUUUAUGGUAGAAUGAUUUAUAUUCCUUUGGAUAUACACCCAGUAAUGAGAUUACUGGGUUGAAUGGUAGUUCUGUUUUAAGUUCUUUGAGAAAUCCCCAGACUGCUUUCCACAGUUGCUGAACUGAUUUACAUUUCCACCAACAGUUAUAAGUGUUCCCUUUUCUCCACAACUUCACCAGCACUUGUUAUUUUUUUUUUUUUACUUUUUAAUAAUAACCAUUCUGACUGGUGAGAGAUCGUAUCUCAUUGUGGUUUUGAUUUGUAUUUCCCUAAUGAUUAGUGAUACUGAAAAUUUUUUCAUAUGCUUGUUGGCCAUGUGUGUGUUGUCUUUUGAGAAGUAUCUGUUCAUGUCUGUUCAUGUCCUUUGACUAUUUUUUUUAAAUGGGACUAUUUGUUUUUCACUCAUUGAUUUCUUUAAGUUUCUUAUAGAUUCUGGAUACUAAGACCUUUGUCAGAGGGAUAGUUUGCAAAUAUUUUUUCUCAUUCUGUGGAUUAUCUGUUUAUUCUAUUGAUUGUUUCUUUUGCUGUGGAGAAGCUCCUUAGUUUAAUUAUGUCCCAAUGUCUAUUUUUGUUUUUGUUGCAGUUGCUUUUGGAGUCUUCAUCUUGGAGUCUUUGCCAGGGCCUAUGUCCAGAAUAGUAUUGCCUAGGUUUUCUUAUAGAGUUUUUAUAGUUUUAGGUUUACAUUUAAGUCUUUAAUCCAUCUAGAAUUGAUUUUUUAUAUGGUAAAAUAUAGAGGUCCAGUUUCAAUCUUUUGCAUAUAGCUAGCCAGUUUUCACAGCACCAUUUACUGAAUAGGGAGUCCUUUCUUCAUUGCUUGUUUUUGUCUGCUUUGUCAAAGAUCAGAUGGUCAUAGGCGUCCAGUCUUAUUUCUGGGUUUUCUAUGUUUUUUUUCCAUUGAUCUAAGUGUCUGUUUUUGUACCAGUACCAUGCUGUUUUAGUUACUGUAACCUUAUAACAUCAUUUGAAGUCAGGUAGUGUGAUUCCUCCAGUUUCAAUCUUUUUGCUUAGGAUUGCUUUCACUAUUUGGGCUUUUUUUUUUUUUGAUUCCAAAUGAAUUUUAGAAUGUUUUUCCCUAAUUUUGUGAAAAAUGUCAUUGGUAGCUUGAUAGGAAUAACAUUGAAUCUGUAAAUUGCUUUGGGUAGUAUGGCUAUUUUUUAUAAUAUUGAUUCUUCCUAUCAAUGAGCAUGGAAUGUUUUUCAUUUGCUUUUGUUGCCUCUGGCUUUUUUGGGCACUGUUUUGUAAUUAUUGUAGAGAUCUUUCACCUCCCUGGUUAGCUGCAUUCCUAGGUAUUUUAUUCUUUCUGUGGUAUUUUGAAUGGGAUUGCAUUCUAGAUUUGACUCUCAGCUUGGACAUUAUUGUUGUACAGAAAUGCUGCUGAUUUUUGCACAUUGAUUUUGUAUCCUGAAACUUUGCUUAAGUUUGUUUAUCAAACCUAGGAGCCUUUGGGCAGAGACUAUGGGGUUUCAUAGGUAUAGAAUCAUAUCAUCUGCGAAGUGAGAUAGUUUGACUUCCUCUUUUCCUAUUUGGGUGCCUUUUAUUUCUUCCUCUUGCCUGAUUGCUCUGGCCAGGACUUCCAAUACUAUGUCGAAUAAGAGUGGUAAGAAUGAGCUCAAGGGGAAUGUUUCCAGCUUUUGCCUGUUCGGCUGUGAUGUAGGCUGUGGGUUUGUCAUAGAUGGCUCUUAUUACUUUUAGGUAUGUACCUUUGAUGUCUAGUUUGUUAAGGGCGAUCUGUGUUUUAAUGGGCCUUUCAUAUAAUUCUGAAGUGCACUAAAGUUUGAGGAACAGUGUUCUAGAGAAGUGUUUCUCAAAAGCAGGGGACAUAUGGAACUCCUGGAGAUCUUGUUUAUUUAUUUUUCAUUUGUUUGUUUUUUGAGACAAGGUUUUGCUCUGCUGCCCAGGCUGGAGUGCAGUGACAUGAUCACGGUUCACUGCAGCAUCAACCUCCCAGGCUCAGGUGAUCCUCCCACAUCAAUCUCUUGAGUAGCUGGGACUACAGGUGUGCACCACCACGUUAGGCUAAUUUUUGUAUCUUUUGCAGAUAUGGGGUCCCACUUUGUUGCCCAGGCUAGUCUUGAACUCCUGGGUUCAAGUAAUCCACCUGCCUCGUCCUCCCAAAGUGCUGGAAUUACAGACAUGAGCCAAAUGGGGCUUGAAGCUCUGCAUUCUAACAUGCUUCCAGGUGAUACAGUGCUGCUGGCCUGUGCACUACACUUAGAGUAGCAAGGCUUUGGGUGUUCACAUUGCUCUUGGUAUGUGUAGUUUGGAGAGUUUCAAACUGAGUGAAUAUUGCACUUGUCCUCUUCAGAAAUAAGCAUUAAGUUUCUUUCCCUGGGUGCCCAUUGGAAUCACUUCUAUUACAUCGUUUGUCAUAUUGUACUGGAAUUAUCUGUUUACUCUUCUGUAUUCCCCUUCUGUCUAUCAACGUGUUGAUGGCAGGAAGCAUGUCUGUUUUGCAGCAACUUUAAGUGCCUGGCAUACAAAAGCCCUUUGAUAAUGGAUGAUAUAGCAAGAUUCUGAUCUCUAUAGCUAUAUCCACAUAGCUUGUCAACAAGAGAUGUAUUAAAGCUUCUUGCAAGUAACUUCUCUGUUAUUUUUGGCAAUCUUCUGAGAGUUGUUUCCUGCCAGUUUAUGAUGGACUGGUUAAAUCCAUGAAGCUGAAAGUCUUUAAGUACAGCCAAAGUGAGAUCAACUUUAGUCUUAAAUGGGUAUGUGUCUAGUGGAGAGUGGGAGUGAAAUAAAGCUGAUUUUGGCCUGGCUCCUGUUGAACUGUGACUAAGAGUUUGUUAACAGCUUUCUUUUUUUAGUUGGCGAUUGUCAGUUCCCAUAAGAAGCAUGGUUCCAAUGUGGAUAGGCCUGUGUUCUAUCUUCAAAAGAGGAAUCUCAUUUUACCCAUAACAGAAGCUGGAAUUCACUUCUCCCUCUGUUCAGAAUAAUAUGGUUAAUAUGAUGAAUUAUCUCUUUUUUAGCCUGCUUCCCCUUAGUUACUAAAUAAAAGAGGAUAUGGAUAAAAAUGGAUAUGGAUAAAAAUUUAGAUGUGGAUAUGAAUAAAAAUGGAUAUGGAUAUGGAUAA